GGACAGCUGGCCUUGAGAAUGUCCUCCUGUGGAAGUGGCCUUUGUUUCUCAUUUCUGCUGCCUGUGCCAAGUAACUGAUGCCUUGCACAGCCAGAGGCUGCAGCAGGCUGGGUUCCCUGUGUGCCCAGGGUAUGGCGUGCCCCGGACAAUGUGCUCACAUCUGGAAGGGAUGAUUUCUCUGGAUUCUCCACGACCCCUGGAACCCAAGGGCUGCUGCUCUGGAUAUGGUCCCAAGACCCCACCCCUGCCGCCUGGAGCCUCCUGCCUGCGUGUGGCCAUCAGACUCUGCUUCCCUUCCGGGUCGCAGCCUGGAACCAUCCUUCUGUCUGACCAGAGCUUCCUCAGACUCAGUUUCCUCACUGGCCAAACAGGACUAAGAGAAGGGCUGCUCACAGGCAGUUAAGGAAAACCAAGGACAGAGCACUACAAGUUUGAAUGUGCUUUGCUCCAUGCUGGGCAUUACAAGAUCGAAUGAGCUUUGCUCCAUGCUGGCCUCUGAGCACAGUGCCAGUCAAACGCUGCUGUGACGCUUGCCCUGCAUGAUCCCUGCCCCUAUACCAUGGACCUCCCCAGGUCAGCACCAUGUCAGCUUUCAUUCAUUUCUUCAUUCACUUACUUCACUCCAACUCUUCCCAUUCACUCAUCCCCUCCAUUCAGUAUUUCUCCUUCCUUCACGCAGCUUUGUGGUGUUUGUUGACUCUAGUCCAUGGGUUUGAUUUCAUUAUUUUAUUCAUUCAUUCUGGUUCAUUUUGUGUCAUUGUAUGCCUCCUUUUUUCCUUUUCACUCCAUUCAUUGCCCGUAUUCCACUUAUUCAGGCAUUUAUUCCAUGUCACCUUUUCACUGUGUGAAAGCCCUAUCUUCAGUUCUGCAUGCUAUGGUGUGCCAGACACUAAGGCUCAGCACUGGGUUACUGCAGGUUGCAGUCACUAACCUGGAGGGUGUGGCAGCACCUGGCUUCCACAGCCAACUGUGUGUGCAAUUCGUGUGUGUCCAUGUGUGUGCUUGCAUGCAUGUGUGCACAUUCAUUCUCAUGUGUGUACGCAUGCAUGCUGCUUUCCCAGGAUGGGGAGGAGCCGCACUGUCCUUCCCUUUUUCUCAGUUCCUGCUGUGCCAGGGGAAACCGUGUUUUACAGGGCGCAGGUCAGGUGUGGAUCCGAUUGGAGUCUUGACCUCCCUGGAGAGGGGCAAGCAUGAUUUGUCAAGGUUCCCCCAAAGCAAAGAAAGAAUUCUGCAGAGUCUUGGAAGUCAUUCUAUUGUUCUUGGUAAGUCAAAUGCUUCUCCUAAUCCCAGCUCAAUAGCACAGUUAAUCAUUUUAUAGAUGCAAAUUGUAUCAUUUACAGAAAAAUGGGAGCAUGUAAGACAGCAUGAUACCAGUCCCAGUUGGUGUGUGCUUUUCCACACUUUUCUAUGCACACAUAUGCAUAAAAAUGUAGGAGCUUUUGCAAAUAUUGGAAUAUGCUACUUGUUCUGUUUUAAUUCACUUUUUUAUCACUUGGGAAUACACUAUGAACAUUUCCUCAAGUCAGUCAAGUUCCAUUUUCAUACGGGCAUAGAAUUCCAGCAUCUGCCCACGUAUAACUCAGUAACCAGUUCCUCACCCUCCCGUGUGUCCUCCUCCCAUGAUUUAUGAUUACAGCAUAUGCAACACGCCGAUGUCCAUCCUUAAGAGUGGCCAUCUCUGCUACUUCCCUUAGCAAAUCAGGUGAAGACAAUAGAUAUAAAUCAGGCCACCACAAUUUUCAUUUUAAUAAGACAGGAAGUAAAUUGACCAGGCCAUUUAGCAUUCAGACAAUAUUACUCUGUUUAAUUUUAAUUCUAGACUUCGUUCCUUGUAGCAUCGGGCUGCUUCCAGCAGGGGGUGUCUUGGGCCAGCCCCGAGUCUGUCUUGGAUGCUGCUGGGGCCUCAUGAUUUGAGGGGGGGUUUCCGUCCCCCCUGGGUAUCACCUGGUGCCUUUGCUUUCUCAGUGUCGGUUGGCAACUCCACCCCCACACACACCCCCUCCCCGUUCCUGUCUUUUCCCAUUAAUUCACUUGAGCUCACUCACUCUCCUCCACCCUGGGCUUUUCUAGACCUUAAUCAGUUGCUGCUGGCUGGCAGAGGAGCAGGGUGACAGCAAAAGAGGGGAGAAGCAGGGACUCACAGUCCCCCGUGAGGAAGAGCUGGUUGGUUUCGUCAAUGCAUGGUUUAUUCAUUUGUGCGUUUUUGUUUGUUUUGUGCAGAGAAAUCUUUGCUUGCCAAGGCGAUUCCUUAUGACUCCAUCCUGGUACCAGGAUGAUAGAAGGCAUUGAUCUCCAUCCGGGAGCUCAGCCAGGCAGGGGACACGGGGGUGUCAUGCUCAGCCCUACAGUGAGCGUCAUGGGGCCCCCAAGAUCCACCCCAGCUGUGGGGGGGGGCACCCUAGAGAGGACGCAGAGACCCAGCCCCACUGUCCCCUCCCGACUGAAGCAGAGCCAGGGAGGAGAGGAGAAAAGAUCAUCAAAAUCCAGCUACCUCAGAGGCUGUGUUUUAUUGCCAAGCAUGACUCCAGAAAAUUAUGAAAGUUUCCGGCUGUAUCCAGAAGUGGGAAGAAACCAAGGAAGUUUCCUUAUGUGAAUAAGGAACAGUGCUGAAAGCCAGCUGCCCAGUGCCCGCUCAGCAGGGUCCUGGCCCGGUGGUGAGUGGUAGCGUCGGGUUCUCAUGGGCCCACAUGACCAUUCAGCAGCUGGGUGACCUUAAGCCCAUCAGGUAACUCAUCCAAGCCUUAGUCCAGCCAUCUGGGGAAUGGGUCAGGAACAGUCCCUGCUUCACAGAUUCUCAUGAACCUCAAGUAAGAAUGUGAAUAACUUGACUCGCUUACAGUGAGACAGUAUAAGCAUUAUUGCUGUCAUUUUAAAAACCUGAGAUUGGGCCAGGGAUUUAGUUCAGUGGUUCCGCCGCCUGCUUUGCAAGUGGAAGGUCCCGAGUUCGAUGCCCAGUACCAAAAUAAAUAAAUAAAUAAAACCUGAGAUGAG
ensembl:lncRNA